CGCGUAGGCGGCUUUGUAAGUCACUUGUGAAAUCUCCGGGCUUAACUCGGAACGGUCAAGUGAUACUGCAAUGCUAGAGUGCAGAAGGGGCAAUCGGAAUUCUUGGUGUAGCGGUGAAAUGCGUAGAUAUCAAGAGGAACACCUGAGGUGAAGACGGGUUGCUGGGCUGACACUGACGCUGAGGCGCGAAAGCCAGGGGAGCAAACG
rnacentral:rRNA from 1 species